AAAAAACUAGUUAAUUUCAUAACAUAAGAAUGUCAUUCUUAAAUUACUAAAAAGUGUUUUUUA
rnacentral:tRNA from 1 species